AAGCUAAUCAACCAGUUUCUUUUGAGAUUGUCUACAUGACAAGGUGAAGCUGCAUACGUACUUAGAAAUAGCAAAUGUAAUACAGUUUUUCAGUUGUUAAAUGGUAGAAAAAUUUUCUUCUCAAUUGUGGAUUGCUCAGCAAAUUCACGAAAGAAGAAUCCCCUCUUCUAUUUCUACUAGGGGUAUCCGGUUCCAGUUCGCUUCGGGAUCUAUCUAGGAUUUCAAACUGAAAUGAAAUUUUGAUAUAAUUUCGGUUCAGUCCUUCGUUAUUUUAGUUCUGAUUUG
rnacentral:misc_RNA from 1 species